rnacentral:rRNA from 1 species
CCUACGGGAGGCAGCAGUGGGGAAUAUUGCACAAUGGGGGAAACCCUGAUGCAGCGACGCCGCGUGAGUGAAGAAGUACUUCGGUAUGUAAAGCUCUAUUAGCAGGGAAGAAAUAAAGUCCUUCGGACUUUUGUCGGUACCUGACUAAGAAGCCCCGGCUAACUAUGUGCCAGCAGCCGCGGUAAUACGUAGGGGGCAAGCGUUAUCCGGAUUUAAUGGGGGUAAAGGGAGCGUAGACGGCAGCGCAAGUCUGGAGUGAAAUCCCAUGGCUUAACCAUGGAACUGCUUUGGAAACUGUGCAGCUGGAGUGCAGGAGAGGUAAGCGGAAUUCGUAGUGUAGCGGUGAAAUGCGUAGAUAUUAGGAGGAACACCAGUGGCGAAGGCAGCUUACUGGAGCGUAACUGACGUUGAGGCUCGAAAGCGUGGGGAGCGAACAGGAUUAGAUACCCUGGUAGUC